rnacentral:misc_RNA from 1 species
GUCUUCAGGAUCUCAGC